GAUGAACGCUAGCUACAGGCUUAACACAUGCAAGUCGAGGGGAAACGAUAGAGAAAGCUUGCUUUUUCUAGGCGUCGACCGGCGCACGGGUGAGUAACGCGUAUCCAACCUGCCCAUCACUUGGGGAUAACCUUGCGAAAGUAAGACUAAUACCCAAUGACGUCUCUAGAAGACAUCUGAAAGAGAUUAAAGAUUUAUCGGUGAUGGAUGGGGAUGCGUCUGAUUAGCUUGUUGGCGGGGUAACGGCCCGACCAAGGCGACGAUCAGUAGGGGUUCUGAGAGGAAGGUCCCCCACAUUGGAACUGAGACACGGUCCAAACUCCUACGGGAGGCAGCAGUGAGGAAUAUUGGUCAAUGGACGAGAGUCUGAACCAGCCAAGUAGCGUGCAGGAUGACGGCCCUAUGGGUUGUAAACCGCUUUUAUAAGGGAAUAAAGUGAGUCUCGUGAGACUUUUUGCAUGUACCUUAUGAAUAAGGACGGCUGAUUCCGUGCCAGCA
rnacentral:rRNA from 1 species